AUCCAUUAGAACUAGAGCACAGGGGACAAAAGAAAUGGACCCUUAAGGGAAAUUUUCCGUUAAAAGACUAUUGAAAAGGUUUGGUGAGAAGAGGUAAAAUAAGUAAAAGUCGUCACAUAAAAAAAUGAGAAAAGGAAAGACAAUAUUAAGAUAAAGAAAUGUACUGAUGUGGACAUGGAAAACAGUCGGAGGUCAAGUUAACUCUUUCUUUCUUUGAACUGGGUAUUCAACUAGGCCAGACGUCUACGGCUUCAAACGAACACAUGCUGUACAGGUCAUCGGUGAAGCACAAUCAUUAAGGCAAACACUGGCUCUACUCUCUCAAAGCUUCUGUGAGAUGAGCAGGGCAAAAAGGGAAUGAGUGGAUGAUCACAGGACAUAAACUCAGUCUGUGUUUCCUGUAGAUAAGAACCAUAAUUUCUGGUCCAGCUCUCUGAUUUUUCUGACUUCAGUCCAAGAGCGGCCCAAAAUGCACGAAGACUCCCUCGAGGGCAGUUCAUAGCUAUAGCAGCCCCUGGAUCAGACUACAAGGACUGAUACUGAAAUAAAGGCUGGAGCCCACAUGGAGAAUACAAAUAGUGAACCGAAAAGUGAAGAAAGAUCAAAGCAGGUCUUCAUCCCAGAUAAGAAGGACACAGAUGCUAUGUCUUUCAAGAUGGUAAUAAGAAGAAGACAGAAAAAUACCCUCAACAACAACCAAAAAUCAUCACAUGGUACACCUUAAACUUACACGGUAUGUCAAUUACGUAGCCAUAAAGUUGGGGAGAGGGGAAUGCCCGGACACCAAUUAAAGGUUUCUUGUCAAAAUCUGUUUCAUUAGACCCAAUGGAUAUGACAGGAGAUGGUCUUCUAUCAAAUAAUUUGGAUUCUCCAUCUAAUGACUUGAAUCACUUUGGGAAAAAUAGACUAAUUCACAAAUCUGGUACUAAUGCACGUGUAGGAAAAACUGUCAAGUGCUAUCACCUGCAGAUGACCAAAACCUGACAGCAUCUACUUUUGAAACUAUGCCAAAAACACUGCUGAUAACCUCUCCCAUUGCACAGGAAAUCAAUACUGAUAUUAAAACAUUAGGAAAGAAGUUCAAAGUUGGGAAGAAGUGCUGGAAGAACACCUAUUGCUAAACCAAUGGGGAGCUGGUAUCACUCCAUUAUUUAGGACAAGACAGACACAACACUGGACAAAACUGAGUUUUCAUAUACAACAGUAUGGCCCCUCUUUACCCUGACAAAAACUACACAAUAUGCCUUUUUUACAUUUACAUACAGUUAAGUUUUUGAUAUACAGUUCUAUAAUUUUUCAUGAAAUGCAUAGAUACAAAACAGUUCCAUUAUCCCCAAAAUUCCCUGUUGUACUCCUUUGCAGUCAACCCCUCUCUCCCGCCCUGCCCAUGCCAAAUGACCUUUUGGGACACUGUGCACACACUACUGGGGUCCACAAUCACAGUCAUUUGUCUUUGGCCAUUAAGAGAUGGUACCACAGAGAUAUAUGAUAGCCUUUUCGUCCUCUACCCAGGCCACUGCCUACCUACUGCCCAUUCAGUGCCUUCACAGUCCACUACCAGAGCAAAAGACAACUUCUAGAAUCACAGUAUGACAAGUAUAUGCCAAAAAGAACAAAGAGUAUUGUCAUAUGUGGUCAAUUUCCUUGCCCAACCACUGAAGCAGCCUUUGCUGCUGGCCAUCUGCUUUCCACCAUCACCACAUCGCCUAUCUACUACCUCCCGAAAAGGUGAAGUCUCAUCAACUACUUCUUUAAUCUGUAUCUUUUUACCUUUUUGACAAUUUCUCUUGGUUGGAAAAAGCCUUAAAUAUUAUAAAUUUCACUAUCUCCUAGUCCAGGCUUGGUGUUAGUUAUAUUAAUAAAAGCUAGAGAAAUUUACAAAAAUGGCUGGCUCCAGAUUGGGGAGGCAAGAUACAGGAUAAACCUGGAACAUUUUCUUGUGCCAGAGAGUAAGAAGGUGUUCCAAAAAAUUAUGGAGGAAGAUCAAAAAAUACAGGAGCCAACAUGAAGGGGCUCCCAUGAGUCAAAUCUGUGACAAUUUCAGCAUCAAAACAAACAGAACAAUAAUGGAUUGUAACCCACUGAAUAAAAUAGGUGGUUUAUUAUUUCUAAAUUAUCAGUAUGAGUCCAUACCAAUAAAAAUUA